rnacentral:rRNA from 1 species
UAGGGAAUAUUGCGCAAUGGGCGAAAGCCUGACGCAGCGACGCCGCGUGUGGGAGGACGCCUUUCGGGGUGUAAACCACUGUCAGAGGGGAAGAACGGCGCCGUCUCGAAUAGGGUCGGCGAUUGACGGUACCCUCAGAGGAAGCGCCGGCUAACUCCGUGCCAGCAGCCGCGGUAAGACGGAGGGCGCAAGCGUUGUUCGGAAUUACUGGGCGUAAAGCGCGGGCAGGCGGUCUGUUAAGUCGUUUGUGAAAAUCCGGGGCUCAACCCCGCGAAAUGCAGACGAUACUGGCAGACUAGAGACCGGUAGAGGCUAGCGGAAUUCCUGGUGUAGCGGUGGAAUGCGUAGAUAUCAGGAAGAACACCUGUGGCGAAGGCGGCUAGCUGGGCCGGAUCUGACGCUCAUCCGCGAAAGCGUGGGGAGCAAACAGGAUUAGAUACCCGCGUAGUCC